GAUGAACGCUGGCGGCGUGCCUAAUACAUGCAAGUCGAGCGAAUGGAUUAAGAGCUUGCUCUUAUGAAGUUAGCGGCGGACGGGUGAGUAACACGUGGGUAACCUGCCCAUAAGACUGGGAUAACUCCGGGAAACCGGGGCUAAUACCGGAUAACAUUUUGAACCGCAUGGUUCGAAAUUGAAAGGCGGCUUCGGCUGUCACUUAUGGAUGGCCCCGCGUCGCAUUAGCUAGUUGGGGAAGUAACGGCUCACCAAGGCAACGAUGAGUAGCCGACCUGAGAGGGUGAUCGGCCACACUGGGACUGAGACACGGCCCAGACUCCUACGGGAGGCAGCAGUAGGGAAUCUUCCGCAAUGGACGAAAGUCUGACGGAGCAACGCCGCGUGAGUGAUGAAGGCUUUCGGGUCGUAAAACUCUGUUGUUAGGGAAGAACAAGUGCUAGUUGAAUAAGCUGGCACCUUGACGGUACCUAACCAGAAAGCCACGGCUAACUACGUGCCAGCCGCCGCAGUAA
rnacentral:rRNA from 1 species